rnacentral:rRNA from 1 species
AUUGAACGCUGGCGGCAGGCCUAACACAUGCAAGUCGAACGAGUGGCGGACGGGUGAGUAAUGUCUGGGAAACUGCCUGAUGGAGGGGGAUAACUACUGGAAACGGUAGCUAAUACCGCAUACCAUCGGAUGUGCCCAGAUGGGAUUAGCUAGUAGGUGGGGUAAAGGCUCACCUAGGCGACGAUCCCUAGCUGGUCUGAGAGGAUGACCAGCCACACUGGAACUGGUACACGGUCCAGACUCCUCCGGUAGGCAGCAGUGGGGAAUAUUGCCAAAUGGGGGCAAGCCUGAUGCAGCCAUUCCGCGUGUAUGAAGAAGGCCUUCGGGUUGUAAAGUGCUUUCGGCAGGGAGGCGUUACCCACAGAAGAAGCACAGGCUAACUCCGUGCCAGCCGCCGCGGUAAUUC